AGUGAACGCUGGCGGUAGGCCUAACACAUGCAAGUCGAACGGCAGCACAGUAAGAGCUUGCUCUUACGGGUGGCGAGUGGCGGACGGGUGAGGAAUACAUCGGAAUCUACUUUUUCGUGGGGGAUAACGUAGGGAAACUUACGCUAAUACCGCAUACGACCUACGGGUGAAAGCAGGGGAUCUUCGGACCUUGCGCGAUUGAAUGAGCCGAUGUCGGAUUAGCUAGUUGGCGGGGUAAAGGCCCACCAAGGCGACGAUCCGUAGCUGGUCUGAGAGGAUGAUCGGCCACACUGGAACUGGGACACGGUCAAGACUCCUACGAGAGGCAGCAGUGGGGAAUAUUGGACAAUGGGCGCGAGCCUGAUCCAGCCAUACCGCGUGGGUGAAGAAGGCCUUCGGGUUGUAAAGCCCUUUUGUUGGGAAAGAAAAGCAGCAGGUUAAUACCCCGCUGUUCUGACGGUACCCAAAGAAUAAGCACCGGCUAACUUCGUG
rnacentral:rRNA from 1 species